GCUGUACGGCGUCUCUGAGGCACACUGCAGGCGCUAUGAACCAAAGCAAAGACUAACGUCGCCUCAUAACAAAGCCGUGACCUCCGAUUUGCUUGGGGCUAUUUCAGCAAGUCCAGAUUUACUGCUGAGAAUGAUGACAUUGUUUCUGCCCGUAAGACGUAUUAUGAGUCGGUACGCCGGAGUUUCAGAUACAAACAACCUGAACUCGCAUCGCAGGCGGAAAAUGCGAAAAGUUUAGCUCGGAGUCGAUCCAGAAGAAAAAUGUUGCUGGAAGCGAGACGAAGUGUGUUGGCUGAGGAUGAGAUGGACAUUUGGAAGUGCGCCACCAUAGAUCUCAUAUCUGAUGAGGAAUACGGCAUUGUUGGCGGGGUGUCUGGAUGGAUUGUGCGGCCACCGCCCUCUCGCAGCCUGGAACUCUCCGAGCUCUGUGCCACGCUGCAAUCCAGAUUAGAGGCGAUACCAAAGUACCGGGCAACUCACCAUAUACGCGUGAAAAAGUGACUUUUUACAACGUUUUUUA